AGUCCUUCCCAGUUGUUGUAUUUCAAGCUCAUUCUUUCCUAUUUGUUUCUUAGGUUGGCUCUCUGUGCACCAUUCUUACAGAUAACUAUUGUGAAGAUGCCUAUCAUUUACUCCAAACUCCAUUGUUGAAGAAUCUUUUGAUGGACGAGAAAAAGGAGCGGAGGAGAUUUGCUGACGGUGAAAAAGAGUCAAAGACGAUGGAGCAAGCUUGGGUGGUAGGGCAAGGAGGGACCGAAAGCGGUUUGAGGAUCGAGUGAAGGAAGAAGAUAAUGGUGGAAAUGUUGAUGAGAAGCAUGCGAAAGUGAUUGAAUACAAGUCCAAAGGAGACGUGGGGGAUGGAAAAGUUCAGUUUGGAGGCACCACUGAUGAAAAAAGGUCACUGGGGAAUGUGUUGGUUGAGGAUAAAAAGAGGAUUUCUCAGCAAAUUUGAUUUGAAUGUAAAGGAAAAUGAGAAGGCUUUGGUUGAACGUGGACAGUGCGAUGUUCCAAACAUGGUUCAUAAUAAACAGCCCAUUUUUGGAAUGACACCACCAAUUCCUUCUUUAUCUUUCGGAAAAGAAGAUGAAUAUUUUGUGGAGGAAGAUGGGUGGACUCAGAUUUUGUCCCAACUUCAAAUUAGUUCAAAGGAACAACCCUGCUCUUCUCUUUUCUUCAUUCUCUACCACUCGGGCUUCUUACAACACUCUCGUCUCUGAGAAUGAUUGAAGUUAUAUGGGGUUGAAAGCUGAGCAAUUGUGUAGAUAGCCAGACGAUCAUUGAAGGUUGAAGAUUGAAGAUUGAGAAGACGUUUAGAAUUUUUCUUAUUUACGUCUUGUAUUAGGAUCUUUUUUCAUAUACUGUUGUAGAAUGUAUAUAUAAACACAAUAUUAAGUUUUCAUUUUGUGUAUACAAAUGUAAAAGAUAAAUAUUAUAGUUUCUAAAAUAAUAUUUAUUGAUUCGUUGGAGCGAGAAA